AGGACCCUCACCACUGACAAGCACUCCGUAAAGGACUGCAGUCUCUCCUCCAUCCUUUGUUUCUCUGGAAACUCAAGUUCAUCAUAUCUGUGCGCUGGCUAUUCCUGCUUCCUGGAAUUCUCUCUCCUUGACAAUCACCCUGUGAGAAUCAUGCACAUGCUUCAAUACCCCACUCAAAUGCCACCAAUGGCCACUGUUUUCUCUGGAAUCCUGAUUGUCUUAUUGGCUAUACCAUUU